UACGUAGGGGGCAAGCGUUGUCCGGAUUCAUUGGGCGUAAAGGGCGUGUAGGCGGUUCGUUAAGUCUGGCGUGAAAGCUCUCGGCUAAACCGGGAGAGGUCGUUGGAUACUGGCAAACUAGAGGACGGUAGAGGCGUGUGGAAUUCCGGGUGUAGUGGUGAAAUGCGUAGAGAUCCGGAGGAACACCAGUGGCGAAGGCGACACGCUGGGCCGUACCUGACGCUAAAGCGCGACAGCAUGGGGAGCAAACGGG
rnacentral:rRNA from 1 species